AACGCACAUUGCGCCUCCCAUCAUCGGGAGGCAUGCCUGUCUGAGCGUCAUUUAAACCAUAGCUCCCAUCUGGGACUGUACUGGGCAUCGCCGACGGCGUAGCCUCAAAGACAUUGGUCUAAUCAAGCGGACGAGUUCCUUUAGGACGGACCGUUGGGUUGACCUUAAACCUCUGACUUGACCUCAGAUCAGGUAGGGCUACCGCCUGAACUUAA
rnacentral:misc_RNA from 2 species